GAGUGCAGAAGAGGAGAGUGGAAUUCCACGUGUAGCGGUGAAAUGCGUAGAGAUGUGGAGGAACACCAGUGGCGAAGGCGACUCUAUGGUCUGUAACUGACGCUGAGGAGCGAAAGCGUGGGGAGCGAACAGGAUUAGAUACCCUGGUAGUCCACGCCGUAAACGAUGAGUGCUAAGUGUUAGGGGGUUUCCGCCCCUUAGUGCUGCAGCUAACGCAUUAAGCACUCCGCCUGGGGAGUACGGUCGCAAGACUGAAACUCAAAGGAAUUGACGGGGGCCCGCACAAGCGGUGGAGCAUGUGGUUUAAUUAGAAGCAACGCGAAGAACCUUACCAGGUCUUGACAUCCUCUGACAAUCCUAGAGAUAGGACGUCCCCUUCGGGGGCAGAGUGACAGGUGGUGCAUGGUUGUCGUCAGCUCGUGUCGUGAGAUGUUGGGUUAAGUCCCGCAACGAGCGCAACCCUUGAUCUUAGUUGCCAGCAUUCAGUUGGGCACUUUAAGGUGACUGCCGGUGACAAACCGGAGGAAGGUGGGGAUGACGUCAAAUCAUCAUGCCCCUUAUGACCUGGGCUACACACGUGCUACAAUGGACAGAACAAAGGGCAGCGAAACCGCGAGGUUAAGCCAAUCCCACAAAUCUGUUCUCAGUUCGGAUCGCAGUUUGCAACUCGAAUGCGUGAAGCUGGAAUCGCUAGUAAUCGCGGAUCAGCAUGCCGCGGUGAAUACGUUCCCGGGCCUUGUACACACCGCCCGUCACACCCCGAGAGUUUGUAACACCCGAAGUCGGUGAGGUAAC
rnacentral:rRNA from 1 species